rnacentral:rRNA from 1 species
GCGGAGGGAUCAUUACUGAGUGAGGGCCUUCGGGCUCGACCUCCAACCCUUUGUGAACACAACUUGUUGCUUCGGGGGCGACCCUGCCGUUUCGACGGCGAGCGCCCCCGGAGGCCUUCAAACACUGCAUCUUUGCGUCGGAGUUUAAGUAAAUUAAACAAAACUUUCAACAACGGAUCUCUUGGUUCUGGCAUCGAUGAAGAACGCAGCGAAAUGCGAUAAGUAAUGUGAAUUGCAGAAUUCAGUGAAUCAUCGAAUCUUUGAACGCACAUUGCGCCCUCUGGUAUUCCGGAGGGCAUGCCUGUUCGAGCGUCAUUUCACCACUCAAGCCUGGCUUGGUAUUGGGCGCCGCGGUGUUCCGCGCGCCUCAAAGUCUCCGGCUGAGCUGUCCGUCUCCAAGCGUUGUGAUUUCAUUAAUCGCUUCGGAGUGCGGGUGGCCGCGGCCGUUAAAUCUUUCACAAGGUUGACCUCGGAUCAGGUAGGGAUACCCGCUG